GAAUUCUCAACAUGAGAGUUUGAUCCUGGCUCAGAACGAACGCUGGCGGCAGGCUUAACACAUGCAAGUCGAGC
rnacentral:rRNA from 1 species